ensembl:lncRNA
ACACUGAAAAAACGAACUUGGUGGUGUAGUAAAAUAUACUAAUUAAACUGUCCUAAUGUCUACAAUUAAAUUUUUCGUUUCUGCGGGAACUAGAUUUUGUCAAGUAAAAUUACACGUAUGUACACAAUUUAUUUAUGUAUUUAAAAUGGCUGUGUGGAAGGAGUAAGUCUUAUUAUGGAUGUUUUCAUAACAUUUAAAUGUUUUUUAGUCUCUGCUAGAAACACUAAAAUACUGAGUAAAUUUUACGACACUAUUUUAGAGUGCGUUUGAAUCAGCGCAUGCGCAUUGGGACAAACGAAAGAACCGCGCAGAUGUCCAUUGUCCGUCCGUUCGUUGGCAGCAGACAGAGUUGUGAAUAUCUCCGGAAUCUCUCAGGUAAGUAACAGCUUUAUCCAUAAAAUAAUUUAUUAUCAGUUUAAAACGCGUUUUGGUGAUUAGUUGGAAGCAUUGUAUGGACUGCACACCGAGCGGUCUACACCAAGGUUUGUGUGAUGUAGCUUGAUGCUAGCGGGCUAGUUAUUAGCCAGUUCAUUCCACCAGAGUCGCACACCGCGCGGUUAAUUUGCGAGAUACUAUAUCUUAUUCAGAGCUAUUGUAUUUUGUCUCAUGUACUGUCCCGUGUAGUGCGAAUAUAAGACAACGCUACGCCAAAGUUUUUCGUUUUUUUAGUUAUUGUCUAUGUGCUUUCACCUUGAAACAUCAUCUCAACUUUUAGCAUGGCGGCCGCGUUGCGGUGUAUCGUUGAAGCUGCGUGCCACGGUCAAGAGACAAACACAACAUGAAAAUGGCUGUAAAUUAAUCUAUAAAUUAUAAGUUGCCCUUAAAAAUAUGUGUUUUCAUUCACAGGCGACUGUUUUUGUAUUUAGCCGGCUGGGACAUGAGGUGACCAGAGAGAGUCAGGAGCGCUGGGCUGUUCAGUGACUAAUCAAAUACUGCACCGUUGUGAUUAGUUCAGAUCAAGAUCUACAGAUCAAGGAGGAGUUUUGGAGAAUAACUACAAUUUCUCUAGAGCAAAGCUUCAUGUACAAACUAGACCACUAUACACCAAAGCUUACUGCCCUGAUGAAAGCCAAGGGAGGUGUUGUGGGGACCAGGCUGAGGCCCCAUCUGGAUAAACUGAGUCAGAACCCAAGCACUGACAUGUGACGUGACGCAGUUAUCAGUGGCCUCAUACUAUUCCUUGGUGAAAAAGAAGAGAAACUUUUCGAAGAUUGCCUGGAGGACAAUCGCAGUGAUGCCACUCAACACAUAGUCAAGAUCCUGGUUGUCCAUGGUACUGAUGGAGAAGAACCAGUAGAUGUUUCCAUCAUUCUUGAAGGGAAGGAGGUAUUGACACGAUGCAACAGCACAGCCAAAGCUUGCACGUUGCUAAUGGGACUGAUUUAUUCCCUGAACCUUGCCUACCCCUCGACUCUGCGCUACACCUUUGAGGUGUUUCAAAAACUUUUCCUGGAACUGAAUGGGAUAAAGCUGUCACCAAAAGUACAUCUUUAAAGUUGAAGUUGCUGUCUGAAAGGAAUUUUCUUUCUUAAAUGUUCCUAAUGUUGUCAACAAAGGCAACUGCUGUCAUUCAUGCUCACAAGGUAAAAAAAAAGUUAAAAAUAACCUUUGUUUUAAAGGUUUUAACAGAGGAUUUGAUGUUGUCCUCAAACUUUAAUGUUUUAACCGAAUGCUAAUAUAAAUAUGUUAAUGGAUGUUGUUGUUUAGAAUGUUGUUCAUGUCAGUACAGCAUAUUUUGUCAGGUCAAACCCUCAAUCUGUUUUGUCACCUGAUGUGCCCUGUUUAGUUUAAUGCGUCCAGGAGUCAAAAACAUUUUGAUUUUCCAGUGAUAUGCUUUUUUUCUGUAUAGCGUAAUGAUCACUCAGUAAAGGUAAACUUUUUUCUUUAUUGAUUUACUGCUGCUGAGAUUUAAUUUAAUUUUUUGUCAUGUGAAAUGUUGACUGCUGUUUCAUGUACAGUUCUACAUAGCUGUAUAAAAUGAGGUGUUACGUAAGGUACCUGACAAAGGUUUAUGAAUAAAUAAUGGAAUUGUAUUUUAGCCGUGUGAUUAUUAAUAGUAUUUGGUAAUAUUUAUCAAAAGAGAAUUUGCAACAUUUACAUAAAUGAAUUAGGUAAUAUAACUUCAAACAACCAAGUAAUUAAAAUGAUCAAACAGGAUAAAAAGUACUUGAUAAUUUUACGACAGUAAAUAUCAAAGAUAAAUAAAAUCUACUCAAUAUUUUGAUGUUGUAAAUGUAUAUAUAUAUACAAAAAAUAUAGUAUAUUGUACUUAAUUUGUGUGUGUAA